rnacentral:rRNA from 1 species
AAAUUGAAGAGUUUGAUCAUGGCUCAGAUUGAACGCUGGCGGCAGGCCUAACACAUGCAAGUCGAACGGUAGCACAGAGAGCUUGCUCUCGGGUGACGAGUGGCGGACGGGUGAGUAAUGUCUGGGAAACUGCCUGAUGGAGGGGGAUAACUACUGGAAACGGUGGCUAAUACCGCAUAACGUCGCAAGACCAAAGAGGGGGACCUUCGGGCCUCUUGCCAUCAGAUGUGCCCAGAUGGGAUUAGCUUGUUGGUGAGGUAACGGCUCACCAAGGCGACGAUCCCUAGCUGGUCUGAGAGGAUGACCAGCCACACUGGAACUGAGACACGGUCCAGACUCCUACGGGAGGCAGCAGUGGGGAAUAUUGCACAAUGGGCGCAAGCCUGAUGCAGCCAUGCCGCGUGUAUGAAGAAGGCCUUCGGGUUGUAAAGUACUUUCAGCGGGGAGGAAGGUGUUGUGGUUAAUAACCACAGCAAUUGACGUUACCCGCAGAAGAAGCACCGGCUAACUCC